ACGAACCGUCCAAACGUUAUUCGGUAUCACUGGGCUUAAAGAGUUCGUAGGCGGCCUAGUAGGUGAGAUGUGAAAUCCCACGGCUCAACCGUGGAACUGCGUUUCAAACCACUAGGCUUGAGGGAGAUAGAGGUGAGCGGAACAGAUGGUGGAGCGGUGAAAUGCGUUGAUAUCAUCUGGAACACCGGUGGCGAAAGCGGCUCACUGGAUCUCUUCUGACGCUGAGGAACGAAAGCUAGGGUAGCGAACGGG
rnacentral:rRNA from 1 species